rnacentral:rRNA from 1 species
AUUGAACGCUGGCGGAAUGCUUUACACAUGCAAGUCGAACGGCAGCACGGAGAGCUUGCUCUCUGGUGGCGAGUGGCGAACGGGUGAGUAAUAUAUCGGAACGUGUCCAAUAAUGGGGGAUAACGAGUCGAAAGAUUCGCUAAUACCGCAUACGCCCUACGGGGGAAAGCAGGGGAUCGUAAGACCUUGCGUUAAUGGAGCGGCCGAUAUCUGAUUAGCUUGUUGGUGAGGUAAAGGCUCACCAAGGCGACGAUCAGUAGCUGGUUUGAGAGAACGACCAGCCACACUGGAACUGAGACACGGUCCAGACUCCUACGGGAGGCAGCAGUGGGGAAUUUUGGACAAUGGGGGCAACCCUGAUCCAGCCAUUCCGCGUGAGUGAAGAAGGCCUUCGGGUUGUAAAGCUCUUUCGCAAGGGAAGAAAACUUAUGAUCGAAUAAAUCAUGAGGUUGACGGUACCUUGAUAAGAAGCACCGGCUAACUACGUG